ensembl:lncRNA
GUCACAACGACGACAUCACUAGCUAGGCCGCAUAUUCCAUCGCCAGAUCCGAACCAAGCGAAGUGAAGGAAGACGGGUGUCCUUUUCGUACACUGAGUGUGGUGGGUGAGUCUUCGUGCUGUGAAAACCUAUAAUUUUGACGUGGUGUUGUAUAUUGCUGUGGGCUGCUGUGUAUUGCCGUGUGUCCUGUCAGAUAAACCCCCGCCUUCACGCACUUCGUCGCGGGAGGACAAGGAGACUGCUGGUCCUAGCCUAGUUCAGUACAGUAUAUGUUGUGAGCGUGCUUCAGAUCUCCGGAGAUAGCACGGUACGCUGUGUCCAGCCCAGAGGUGAAAGCCAUCCAAAGCAGAGUAACUGUGCUUGUGUCCAAGUUGAUACCUGUGGAGAGGAAAGGAAAGAGAGAUUGAUACCUGUGGAGAGAAAAGGAGAGAGAGUGGGUAACACGAGGAGAGACCGAGGAAACCUGUACUUACGCCGCUGCCUGUGGAGAAAGAGAAAGCGACCGUUGCCUGUGGAGGAAGAGAAAGAGAGUGAGCACCUCGAGAACGAACUGUGUGAACCAGUACUUACCGUGAGCUGUAUUCAGCGAAGAGGAGGAAGAAGGAGGGCGCUACGGAUACCUAAGACUCAGGCCGGGGCCCGAGUCCCACGCCCCGGAUCCCCGUGGCCCCCUUGCUCCCUGACCUCUUCCCG